AGGCGGGAUUUCAAUUUUCAAAUGCUUUUUAGAUCCUAAACAAAACAACCUUCUCUCUCCUUUCAGAUUUCACGCACAUAACAUAUCCUUCAUUGUCAGGAAACCUUAAAAUAGCAUAUCCCACUUUCUCCACCAAUUUUUGAAUUCCCUAAUAUCAUUUCCCCCCUUCGUACACCCAAAUCAGUACAAACAAAUAUUUUUGCAGAAAUCAGAAUCAUGAAGCUUCAGCGUGGUUGCAAUCGAUGAAGAUGGAGUUAUGGAGAUACACGAGCCAUGUAGGUUAGGUUACAAGACUGGGGAAGAUAACAAGCAAAACUUUGCAAUUCUGAGUUUUCUACCUACAUUUAACAAUUUUAUAUUCAUAUCUGAGUCUUUUUCCCUCUCUAAAAACUUUGCAGGGAAGCAAGCAAAACUAGGGAACAUGACAAGCUUAGCUCUGAUAGGAACAAUAAAAAAAAUGACUACACUAGACGUUGGAUUCGACAAGACGAGCUCUGGCUGCCGGGAUGAUGCUUGACAAUGGCAAUGGUGAUGACGGACAAAGGUGGUUCGACAAUGGUUACGGUGGUGUUAGGGUUGUGGUCUAAUUGGUCAAACUUGGUCCACACGCUGAAAGCUAGUCCACCCAGGUCAACAACUCAGUACACCAGGUCAACUUCGGUCAGCAAAUCCAAGCUUAUCUGCAACUUCUUUCAUUGUAUCUUCUCUACCGAGCCUGUAAGAAGCCAAAUAGGAGUGGGAACAGUUUUUAAAACAAAGUCUAUAAUGUUCGUUAACACUCGAAGCAUAAUUGGGGUUAAAUGUGCCUUAUUUAUGUUGUUUAUGACACCGAGCAGCCGAUAUAUUUUUGUGUUCAAAGUAAAUGAAGUUGAGGAGUUCAGGACAAGCAAAGUAUCACGAAAAGAUCGUUUAACAAGUUUUGAUGAAGAAGUAGUUGCCAAAGAAAGGGAGUGGGAGAAAAACAGAUUAGCAGUUGAUAGAGCAAAACAUGAAGCGUGAAUGGGCCUUUGAAGAAGCCUGUGAGAGAGCUGAACAUGAAUGGGCUGCAAUUGAAAAAGCUGCAGAGGAAGUCAAACAAAGAAUGAUGGCAGAGGCCCAUGGAAAGGUUUCUAAAGCUUCUGUCAUGAAUAAAUCAUCUAAGGCUAUUUCUCAAAAGACUGCUUUUGAGUUGAACUGUUCUGAAUCAGCUUAGAGAACCAAGGCAAAAUUAGAAAAACAUAACAGGAUCAUGGAAAGGGCGGCUAAAGCAUUUGCAGAAAGAGAGAAGAGAGAUCUACAUGCAAAAGGAACAAGCUGACAGAAUACUGAGAAAAAUGUAACAAUUUUUAGUUAAAUAGAAUCAUUACUAUCUUCUUUAUUAUUUAUAUUUUUAUCUUUAUACUUUUUGCAUCCAAUUUUAUUUCUAUGGUUAGCCGAGAAUCUUGAUGCUCA